rnacentral:rRNA from 1 species
UACAGAGGGUGCGAGCGUUGUCCGGAAUCACUGGGCGUAAAGGGCGCGUAGGCGGCCCGGUAAGGUUGCGGUGAAAGCCCGGGGCUCGACCCCGGGUCGGCCGUGGCAACUGCUGGGCUGGAGCACGGUAGAGGCGGGUGGAAUUCCGGGUGUAGCGGUGGAAUGCGUAGAGAUCCGGAAGAACACCGGUGGCGAAGGCGGCCCGCUGGGCUGUUGCUGACGCUGAGGCGCGACAGCGUGGGGAGCAAACAGG